UGAAAAGACAAAAACAAAGAAGGGCAUAAAAGAAAAGAAAGACAUAUGAUGGGGUUGGCGCACAGAAAUGUCAUAUUCCAAUCACGACAUGAGAAAUGGUUGGAUUGCCUGUCCUACUAGGAGAUUCUCGACUGACAUUUUAUCGUGUUAUUGUGUCCACGCUAUUUAGUUCCUUCUGAAGCCUUCCGAGUUUCACAUGCACUGCUUCAAUCAGCUCCUGCAGAGCGGAUAACUUACCUAGGGACCCAGGCCUUACUGGACAAACAGGCAAUCAUGAACAGGGACAGACUGGCCUUUUUUUUUUUUUUUAAUUUUGAUUUUUCUAUUUUUUGCAUUUCAAAGUAUAGGUAUUCAUUGUAGCAAUUUAUGAGAAAGGAAAAGCCAGUGAGUUUUUCUAGAAAUAUAUAUCUUUAUCUAAAAUAGAAGGAUUAUAUAGAAAUGAGCCUAC